UAACUUUUUUCUCGUUACAGAUACUCAACUUGAGCAGCAGCAACAAUAACAGUGGUAGCAGCCGUUAGAGCAACUAAAAAAGUCAAUCCUUAGGGUCAAGGGAAAUACCGUCGUACAGCAAUGAGCAUAACGUCAAAGAAAAUCAAACAAUAUAUAAACAAAAGAGCAAAGAAUAACACAUGACUGCAACACAAACGAAAUUGCCGACGCCGCCGACGAGGACGAGAACGAGUACGACGACAUAAAGGUCGCCGUGGCGUAACCGAACACGAUUACGAAGCCAAAGGCAACACUAAGCAAACACAAACACAGGCGAAAGAAGAAAACAAAACGAACGAACGUGNAAGCAACAAAUCCGNAGUACCCGCAGUACUACUACAAAGGUGCUUGUGAGCACUGCACGCACAGCAGAGUGCAACGGUACGACGGCACAGAGGAACAAGCGACUCGUCACAAGCGCCAGUGCCACUAAAAAAACAACACAACACAUCCAACAACAACCUAAAUACUACACAUUAAUAAACUACAUAAAACCGUGCGUGCUAAUCACUAACUAAUACUAGAAGCGACAACGCCGAUAUAACUGUAACACAAAAGCGUAUUAAGUGCAACAGUGUGUCCCAAACCGGUGUGUCACGUGUCCCAGUCACAACUACUAGUUCACCGCAAAUACAUAUAAACUGUAAUCAAAAGGACAACCCGUCUCUAGUGCAGCGAGUAGCCACUGCUGUAGUACUUAGCGGUAGUAGUUAGUAGGCGCCAACAACUAACUGUAUCCGUAGCUUUUCAAAUUUAAAGCCCUCCACUUUUUUCACUUUUAAAUCGUAAAUAUUUUAAUGAAAAACAAAAUUUCAAAAACAAAAAACUUGACUGAUAGUUUAUUAAAUUAAUUAAACAUUUCAAUUGAAUAGAAAUUUAAACGAAUGUUCACAAAACUACAACAACAACAAUAACACUCGUACGCAUGCAACAAAUGAUCUCGAAAUCAAAACAGAACUCCACGUUAAAGCAAGAAACGCGCGAUAAUGUCGAACUUCAAUUAAAACAAAGCAAAUAAAGCGACGAAAAAACAACAACAACACAGCAAAAAUUGCAACAACUCAAAGCGAAUUUGACAAACCAAAAACCAACAACUAACAUUGCCAAAAACAAACAAGAAUUGCAGCAUUUUUUAAAAACACGAAUAAUUGAAAAACUACAAGAACAACAACUACAACGCAUAUGAUAGCAUUCGCAUUGACAACGACGUUUAGUCAGUAAAGCCCCGCAAAAAAAAACAAAAAAAAAAACACGAAUAAAAACGCUGAACUUAGCGCCAAUAAAUAACGGGACAAAUCAAAUUGCAACCGUGCCUCUGCUCACUGCAACACGACGGUGGUGAAAGCAUUUAAACGCGGUGCGCUCGCGAAUAAUCAAAUUUGGUGCAACAAAAAAUAUUCAAAACUGAACUUAGCAAAGUGACUUUUUCAUUAGUCAACGCCUUGUUGUUUUUGUUGUUACAUAAAAUAGAGUGCCACAGCGUUGCGAGCUGGCGGAUAAGCCAAUUUUAUUCAUAACACAAAGCGAGUGAGCGUAGCAGCGGCCGGCAGGCUAAGCGUGUUGGUUGUGGCCAGUAGCCAGCAGUGGCAAGCAGACGCAAACAAAAUGGGCAAUAAAUGUUGCAGCAAACGACAGGAUCAGGAGUUGGCACUUGCCUACCCGAGUGGCUAUAAAAAAUCAGAUUACACAUUCGGUCAAACGCAUAUAAAUAAUAGCGGGCAAAAGCAUAACAAUGGCGGCUCGCUGGACUCCCGUUACACGCCCGACCCGAAUCGUGGGCCGCUCAAAAUUGGCGCCAAGGGCGGCGCAGACAUAAUACGCCCGCGUACAACGCCAACUGGCGUUCAAGGUGGCCUGCCCAAACGGCGUGUCGUUGUCGCCCUAUACGAUUACAAGUCGCGCGAUGAGUCUGACUUGAGCUUCAUGAAGGGCGACCGGAUGGAAGUAAUCGACGACACCGAGUCCGAUUGGUGGCGUGUAGUCAAUUUGAGCACACGUCAGGAGGGUUUGAUACCCCUAAACUUUGUCGCCGAGGAGCGCAGCGUGAACAGUGAAGAUUGGUUCUUUGAAAAUGUGCUACGCAAAGAGGCCGAUAAGCUUUUGUUGGCGGAGGAGAAUCCGCGCGGUACAUUCCUGGUGCGUCCGUCGGAACACAAUCCCAACGGAUAUUCGUUGUCGGUGAAGGAUUGGGAGGAUGGCCGUGGCUACCAUGUGAAACAUUAUCGCAUCAAGCCGCUCGACAAUGGUGGCUACUACAUUGCCACAAAUCAGACUUUCCCCUCGUUGCAGGCGCUGGUGAUGGCCUACAGUAAAAAUGCACUUGGCCUUUGCCACAUACUGUCGCGUCCGUGUCCGAAGCCACAGCCGCAAAUGUGGGACCUGGGACCGGAAUUGCGUGACAAGUACGAGAUACCGCGCUCCGAAAUUCAAUUGAUACGCAAAUUGGGACGCGGCAACUUCGGUGAGGUGUUCUACGGCAAGUGGCGCAACAAUAUCGACGUCGCCGUGAAAACGCUGCGCGAAGGCACGAUGUCGACGCAGGCGUUCCUACAAGAGGCAGCCAUUAUGAAGAAGUUCCGNCACAAUCGCCUGGUGGCAUUGUAUGCCGUCUGCUCGCAGGAGGAGCCCAUCUACAUUGUGCAGGAGUACAUGUCCAAAGGCAGUUUGUUGGACUUUCUUCGCGAAGGCGACGGUCGCUAUUUGCACUUUGAAGAUCUUAUUUACAUAGCCACGCAGGUGGCAUCCGGCAUGGAAUAUCUCGAAUCAAAACAAUUGAUACAUCGUGAUCUGGCCGCACGCAAUGUGCUGAUCGGCGAGAAUAAUGUUGCCAAAAUUUGUGAUUUCGGUUUGGCGCGCGUUAUCGCCGACGAUGAAUACUGCCCCAAACAGGGAUCGCGCUUCCCUGUCAAAUGGACUGCACCCGAGGCGAUAAUCUAUGGCAAAUUUUCCAUCAAAUCCGAUGUCUGGUCUUAUGGUAUUCUACUAAUGGAACUCUUCACCUACGGACAAGUGCCAUAUCCGGGCAUGCAUAGUCGAGAGGUCAUUGAGAAUAUCGAACGUGGCUUCCGCAUGCCGAAACCAACUAAUCACUAUUUCCCCGAUAAUAUUUAUCAUCUACUAUUACAAUGUUGGGAUGCGGUGCCGGAGAAACGGCCAACAUUCGAAUUCUUGAAUCACUACUUCGAAUCGUUCACCGUGACGUCGGAGGUGCCCUAUCGGGAGGUGCAGGAUUAAGUAGCGUAGCACUCGAAAUGCCGCGAGUGGUACAGCGUUAUUGCCAGUGCGAUAUACAUACAUACACAUACAUAUAUACAAACAUACAUAAAUUAACUAGAUUUAAUUAAAACAAAAACAAACAGAUAACUUUUCAAUGGCAAAAGUUGUAACUGCUGCAGCGUAAACGCAAAGCAGCAGCAUCAAGGUGCACAUACGCAAUCGUUUGGCGCUGCCAUGUAUGGGGCCAGUGGGAUGUACCACUUGAAGAAGAAGAAUUUUUACAUUCGCAAAAAACUGCUACAUACUAAAAGCUAUUCUACAUUAUAUACAUAACACAUGGUACGCGUAUGAUAUAUGCGUACGUUUAUGAUAGCAUAAAAACAAAAAAGAAGAAAAAAA
rnacentral:misc_RNA from 1 species